CAGCAGCCACGGUAAUGCGUAGGGUGCAAGCGUUAAUCGGAAUUACUGGGCGCAAAGCGUGCGCAGGCGGUUCGUUAAGACAGAUGUGAAAUCCCCGGGCUUAACCUGGGAACUGCAUUUGUGACUGGCGGGCUAGAGUAUGGCAGAGGGGGGUAGAAUUCCACGUGUAGCAGUGAAAUGCGUAGAGAUGUGGAGGAAUACCGAUGGCGAAGGCAGCCCCCUGGGCCAAUACUGACGCCCAUGCACGAAAGCGUGGGGAGCAAACAGGAUUAGAUACCCCAGUAGUCCCUGUCUCUUAUAC
rnacentral:rRNA from 1 species